UUCUUGAGUGUGUACUUGUUAAGCCUUUUAAGAAAAAAGUUAUUAACUUAAGGAAUUAUAACAAAGAAGCAACACGUAAAUGGAUUUUCCAUUUUUUAGUGUGUAUCAAUCGAGUUUCUGACCUAUCAGCUUUUGAUGUUAGGGUAUUGGCCUAACAUGGCUAUGACGGGUAACGGGGAAUUAGAGUUCGAUUCCGGAGAGGGGGCCUGAGAAAUAGCUACCACAUCUAAGGAAGGCAGCAGGCGCGUAAAUUACCCAAUUCUAAAGAAGAGAGGUAGUGACAAGAAAUAACAAUACAAGGCCAAUCUGGCUUUGUAAUUGGAAUGAUGGGAAUUUAAAACCUUCCCAAAACUCAAUUGGAGGGCAAGUCUGGUGCCAGCAGCCGCGGUAAUUCCAGCUCCAAUAGCGUAUAUUAAAAUUGUUGCAGUUAAAACGCUCGUAGUUGAAUUUCAAAGAAUCGAUAUUUUAAGUAACGCUUUGUAGAUUAAUCCACAUAACUGAUACUACGUAUCGACUUUGUGCGCAUUUUUCUACUUAUGUGUUCUUUUAAUUAAAAUGAUUCUUUUUAAGAUCUUUCUUUUUUGCUUCGGCAUUUUAGGAGAUCUUGUUACUUUGAGUAAAUUAGUGUGUUCAAAGCAAACAGAUUAUAGCAUCUUUAUGCGUUUGAAUACUACAGCAUGGAAUAACAAAAUUGAACAAGUCAGAAUUUUGUUCUUUUUUCUUAUUUUGGCUUAGUUACGAUUAAUAGGAGUAGCUUGGGGGCAUUUGUAUUCAGAUGUCAGAGGUGAAAUUCUUAGAUUUUCUGGAGACAAACAACUGCGAAAGCAUUUGCCUAAAAUACUUCCAUUAAUCAAGAACGAAAGUUAAGGGAGUGAAGACGAUCAGAUACCGUCGUAAUCUUAACCAUAAACUAUGCCGACUAGGC
rnacentral:rRNA from 1 species